rnacentral:rRNA from 1 species
AUUGAACGCUGGCGGCAUGCCUUACACAUGCAAGUCGAACGGCAGCACGGACUUCGGUCUGGUGGCGAGUGGCGAACGGGUGAGUAAUGCAUCGGAACGUGCCAUUGAGUGGGGGAUAACGUAGCGAAAGUUGCGCUAAUACCGCAUAUUCUGUGAGCAGGAAAGCAGGGGACCGCAAGGCCUUGCGCUCUUUGAGCGGCCGAUGUCAGAUUAGCUAGUGUGAGGUAAAGGCUUACCAAGGCGACGAUCUGUAGCGGGUCUGAGAGGAUGAUCCGCCACACUGGAACUGAGACACGGUCCAGACUCCUAC